UCCAGGUUCCUGCCCUUCUUGACUUCCUGUUCCGACUUCCUUUGAUGAUGAACUGUGAUAUGCGAGCCUAAGCCUAAUCAACCCUCUCCUCCCCAAGUUCCUUUGGUCAUGGUGCUUCAUCACAGCAACAGGAACCAAGGUAGUGAGUUCAUGACCAUCAUAGUGGGGAGCAUGGCAGCAGGCAGGCAGGCACGGUGUUGGGUUAGUAAAUGAGAGCUUAUAUACUUUUUGGCAAGUAGGAGGCCCACAGAGAGAAGGGUAACUGGGCUUUUAAAAUCUUAAAACCCACCUCCAGUGAUACACCUCCUCCAAUGAGGCCACACCUCCCAACCCUUCCCAAGUGGUUCUACCAACUGGGAACCAUGCUUUCAAACGUAUGAGUGUACGGUGGCUAUUUUCAUUCAAACAACAGGAAGAACAGAACCAAGUUAAAGCCACAUCACAGAAGGUUUGAAUAUAUUGUAUAAGGUUCGUGGAGAAUGGGACUUGAGGGUGAUAGAUGUUUGAUGAUAAAGGUAUUAAAAUUCCUAAGAUUAUACCAAUCUACUUGUGCUAAAAUUUGCAAUUUUUUUCUUGUCCUUAAAAGUUUUGAGUCAGGGGGUCACUGUGUAACCAUAGCUAUCCUGGGACUGACUGAGUAUCUGGUCCAGACCGACCCUGAUCUUUCAGUGAUUUGCUUGCUCUGACCCUUGAGUGCCUCCACAGCUGGCUCCAUGGUACUCUCAAUAGAUUAAAAAAGUUGCAAACAGGUCAAAUAUUUAUCGGUGAAUGAAUAAACAAAUUGUUGAAUAUAUACAUGAUAGAACACAGUCUAAUUAUGAAAGAAACAAAGUACACGAUGCAUGGAUGAAAAUCAGUCUCUCUCUGACUCUCUUCUCUCUGUCUCUCUCCAAGACAGGGUCUCUCUUCAUAGUCCUACUGUCUUGGGACUCAUUAUGUAGUCUAGGCUGGCCUCUGCCUGGGUGCUGGGAUUAAAGGCAUGCACCACUGUGCCCUGCUCUGGAUGAAUCUUGAAGGUGGAAGAAAGUUAGACACAAAAAGUCACAUAUUGUAUGAUUUCACUUAUAUGAAAUAUUCAGAAUAAAUCCUCAGAGAGAGAACACAGACACCACCAAUACAGACUUCACUUUGGAGUGAUGGAACCACACAGAGUUGGCAGGUGUCCCACACUGUGACUGUAUGGAAUGUACCGGAAGGUUAAUCGUGUGCAUCUCACCUCAGACAUUGCAUCCCUAUUUAGUCUAAUUUAGUCCCUUCAAAAACUGGUUAAAUCAUAAAUGGACACCCUAAAACUUAUAAAAGGCGUGGCUUAAUGACAUCUGUUGUGCAGUCGUUAUCUAUGAGCAUUCUGGCUCCAGCACCAGUGCUGAUGGAGAAAUGCAGUUUCCCCAGAGAAGUGUCUGAGCUAAAGUAGGAGCCGCUUUGCCUGGAGGAUACAGAUGAUCUCCUGUGCCUCAUGUGUGCACUGGCUGACAGUCCCCUGGUCUUCAGGCAGGACCAAAUCUUCCACAGUUUGUCCUUCCAUGCAUCUCGGGGGUGUGUGAGGUGGUAGUUGUAAUGCUGGCCUGCAGCUGAGAUAAGAUCUUGCUCAGUUUCUCACCUCACUCUGUUCCCCUCACUCAGCUGAGAAAGCAGCCCCAGCAGGCCAUCUAAAAAGAUGUCUUUAGGCUGUCUCAAGGAAACCUAAUACAGAACAGCUAUGGGAAAGCCAAUAAUGGUACAUUUUUGAGUACGUGAAAUCUAUCUCACUACAGUUAUUUACAUAAAGAAAAAUACCCACUGGCCAGAGAGUAGUUCCAAGGUAGGACACUUAUUUAGCUAGCUCUUGAGGUCCUGGGUCCAGUGCUCAAAAUUGCAACAUACACAUGCAUGCAGGCAUGCACACACACAUGCAUGCAGGCAUGCACACACACUCCCAGAUUAUUAAUCAUUUACCAUAACUAUUGCUUUUCUUUUUAGGAAGAGUCUCACUUUAUAGCUAUGGAUAGCCUGGAAUUCACUCUGUAGACCAGACUGGACUUGAACUCCGAGGUCUACCUGCCUCUGCCUCCCGACUGCUGGGAUUUAACAGUAUGCUCCACUAUGCUGGGUAACAUGUUUUUAUUUUUCUUCUAAAAAUCUUAUCUCAUCUGCAUAAUGCAUUUCGGAGAAUCCCUGAUGAGAAGUCAAAGUUGAACAUGCAAGCAUCACCUACUUAAAGGUGAAACACUUGUUUCUGAGAUCUCAAAUCUAUACUUAAUU
rnacentral:lncRNA from 1 species